rnacentral:rRNA from 1 species
UACGUAGGGUGCAAGCGUUGUCCGGAAUUAUUGGGCGUAAAGGGCGCGUAGGCGGUUUCUUAAGUUUGGAGUGACAGUGGGUGGCUUAACUACCCAAGGCCUCUGAAAACUGGGGAACUUGAGGACCAGAGAGGGACAUAGAAUUCCGGGUGGAGUGGUGAAAUGCGUAGAUAUCCGGAGGAAUACCAAAGGCGAAGGCAGUGUCCUGGAGGGUGACUGACGCUGAGGCGCGAAAGCUAGGGGAGCAAACGGG